rnacentral:misc_RNA from 1 species
GAUGAAGAACGCAGCGAAAUGCGAUAAGUAAUGUGAAUUGCAGAAUUCAGUGAAUCAUCGAAUCUUUGAACGCUCAUUGCGCCCGCCAGUAUUCUGGCGGGCAUGCCUGUUCGAGCGUCAUUUCAACCAUCAAGCCCCCGGCUUGGGUUGGGGACCUGCGGCUGCCGCAGGCCCUGAAAACCAGUGGCGGGCUCGCUAGUCACUCCGAGCGUAGUAAUACAUCUCGCUCAGGGCGUGCUGCGGGUUCCGGCCGUUAAAAAGCCUUAUUUACCCAAGGUUGACCUCGGAUCAGGUAGGAAGACCCGCUGAACUUAAGCAUAUCAAUAAGCGGAGGA